rnacentral:rRNA from 1 species
UCGAGUUGUUUGGGAAUGCAGCUCUAAAUGGGAGGUAAAUUUCUUCUAAAGCUAAAUAUUGGCGAGAGACCGAUAGCGCACAAGUAGAGUGAUCGAAAGAUGAAAAGCACUUUGGAAAGAGAGUUAAAAAGCACGUGAAAUUGUUGAAAGGGAAGCGCUUGCAAUCAGACUUGUUUAAACUGUUCGGCCGGUCUUCUGACCGGUUUACUCAGUUUGGACAGGCCAGCAUCAGUUUCGGCGGCCGGAUAAAGGCAUUGGGAAUGUGGCCUCCACUUCGGUGGAGGUGUUAUAGCCCAGUGUGUAAUACGGCCAGCCGGGACUG